rnacentral:tRNA from 1 species
UAGAUUGAAGCCAGUUGUGUAGGGUUUUUAGCUGUUAACUAAAGUUUCGUGGGAUAAAUACCCGCCAAUCUAG